rnacentral:rRNA from 1 species
GUGGGGAAUAUUGGACAAUGGGGGAAACCCUGAUCCAGCAAUGCCGCGUGAGUGAUGAAGGCCUUCGGGUUGUAAAGCUCUUUUAUCAGGGAAGAUAAUGACGGUACCUGAUGAAUAAGCUCCGGCUAACUUCGUGCCAGCAGCCGCGGUAAUACGAAGGGAGCUAGCGUUGUUCGGAAUUACUGGGCGUAAAGGGCGCGUAGGCGGCCUUGUAAGUUAGAUGUGAAAGCCCCGGGCUUAACCUGGGAACUGCAUUUAAGACUGCAAAGCUAGAGGACGAGAGAGGAAAGUGGAAUUAUGAGUGUAGAGGUGAAAUUCGUAGAUAUUCAUAAGAACACCAGUGGCGAAGGCGACUUUCUGGCUCGUAUCUGACGCUAAGGCGCGAAAGCGUGGGGAGCAAACAGGAUUAGAAACCCGGGUAGUCC